AACGAACGCUGGCGGCAUGCCUAACACAUGCAAGUCGAACGGGAUCCUAGCUUGCUAGGUGAGAGUGGCGGACGGGUGAGUAACACGUGGGAAUCUGCCUUUUGGUUCGGGAUAACCGCGGGAAACUGCGGCUAAUACCGAAUGCCCUCGAGAGAGGAAAGAUUUAUCGCCAGAAGAGGAGCCCGCGUCCGAUUAGGUAGUUGGUGGGGUAAAGGCCUACCAAGCCGACGAUCGGUAGCUGGUCUGAGAGGAUGAUCAGCCACACUGGGACUGAGAUACGGCCCAGACUCCUACGGGAGGCAGCAGUGGGGAAUAUUGGACAAUGGGGCGAACCCUGAUCCAGCAAUGCCGCGUGAGUGAUGAAGGCCUUAGGGUUGUAAAGCUCUUUUGCCAGGGAAGAUGAUGACUGUACCUGGAGAAUAAGCCCCGGCUAACUUCGUGCCAGCAGCCGCGGUAAU
rnacentral:rRNA from 1 species